AGCGAACGCUGGCGGCAGGCCUAACACAUGCAAGUCGAACGAACCUUUCGGGGUUAGUGGCGGACGGGUGAGUAACACGUGGGAACGUGCCUUUAGGUUCGGAAUAACUCAGGGAAACUUGUGCUAAUACCGAAUGUGCCCUUCGGGGGCAAGAUUUAUCGCCUUUAGAGCGGCCCGCGUCUGAUUAGCUAGUUGGUUGAGGUAAUGGCUCACCAAGGCGACGAUCAGUAGCUGGUCUGAGAGGAUGAUCAGCCACAUUGGGACUGAGACACGGCCCAAACUCCUACGGGAGGCAGCAGUGGGGAAUCUUGCGCAAUGGGCGAAAGCCUGACGCAGCCAUGCCGCGUGAAUGAUGAAGGUCUUAGGAUUGUAAAAUUCUUUCACCGGGGACGAUAAUGACGGUACCCGGAGAAGAAGCCCCGGCUAACUUCGUG
rnacentral:rRNA from 1 species